CCUAACAAUGCCAUUUCCUAUGGCCAAACAUUCAAACACAUGAGUUUAUGGGGGCCAUUCCUAUUCAAACCAACACAACGGUCUUCCCACCAUGAAGUACAACCCUUCCCAGAAGACCAUGGAGUGAGGUUUCUUAGGUCAUAAGGCAACAUAAGUAUUUCCCCUACAAAGUUUAUUUUCUCAGGUGCUGUGGGGCACUAUGAAAGGUGGGAAGGCACAAAACCGUUUCCCUUCUCUAGGGUGAGGUCACAGAGUUUGUUUUCAUCUGAAUGGAAAGGCUCCUAGCAAACCUGCUUGCUUGAGCCUGUAGGAUGCAGAGAGGCAAAGGCGUUUUCAAGUGUUCCCUUUCCAGUUUCAUGUGAUAUAUCCACAACCACUCCUACAUAAAUUCAUAGGUAUAAAAAUGGGAAGAUAGAUUGCAUAUGUCGGCAGAGCCUGUGAUUCCAGCACUCAGCAAGCAGACAGGCCGCUAUCUAUGGAGUUCCAGGAAAGGGAAGGAGGAGGGCAAGAACAGAAGACUGGGGCUGUACAUCUGAGUAACAAAAGAAGUCUGCUUUAGAAGGUUGAAGAUUUAGCCAUUUGUCUUUGGAAAUGAAUGAAACCCUGCAUUUUGGAUAGUUUUCCUAUCACCAAGGAUAGUUUCAAACUAGCGAGCCUCCUUAUUGGGCUUCCUAAGUGCUGGAGUUAUAAGCAUGUACCACUAAACUUGGCUACUUUUCUUAAUGUUAAUUCUAAUCCAGAAUUAAACAUACAUGUCAUUAAAAAUGAAUUUCUCUAUGAUCA